rnacentral:lncRNA from 1 species
CGAUUUUGAUGGAUUCUUCUAUGGAAUGGAUUUUGAGAGACUUUUUAGUUGAAAAUACACUUGAUAGACUUUUUCAAUAAUCUCACCAAAAGCCUUGAGACUUUUUUGAAAUCUCCAAGACUUUUUAUUUUUAUCAUCACUGUAUCAAAUUUUUUUUUCUUUAUUUUUUCAUAGUUCAUCAUCACUGCACUCCUUCUUAUUUUCUUUGUUCACUUGUUCAAGAAUCUCACCAAAAGACUUGAGACUUUUUCAAACUCUCCAAGAUUUUUUACUUUCAUCAUCAU